rnacentral:lncRNA from 1 species
UCAGAUACACCAGAAGAGGGCAUCAGAUCUCUUUACAGAUGGUUGUGAGCCACCAUGUGGUUGCUGGGAUUUGAACUCAGGACCUCUGGAAAAGCAGUCGGGUGCUCUUAACCACUGAGCCAUCUCUCCAGCCCACGGCCUGUCUUUCUAUGGAAGCAGUCCGACUCAGAAGUCAGGUCACUCCCUCCAGAAGAGAGGGGUCCUGGACCCUGAAUAUUUCUGAAGCCAGCUCUAGGGUAAUGGAAACAGAACUUCCCACCCCCUUUUUUGCUAAGGAGUGCUGGGGUUCAUGGCUGGAAGACGGCCUGGUCUUGCCUACCUUACGCAGUCUGUGGAGAGGGGCCUGUAAAAAUGGCGGGCUCUGUUCACAUCAAAUCGGGAAACCCUCCUGACUCCAGAGACCUAGAGGCCAGAGGGGCCUCCAGGGACGAUAAUGAAGGACUCAGGGGAUCUGUGAAGACAAGGGACCUGUUCUCCUGGAAUCUAGGCUACCCCGGCUGUGAGGCCUCUGCCCACAACUUCACAGAUGUCCAUAUCUUCCACAGUGUGGGUUCUAGGCCGCCCUGCUGAAGAUGGAUAGCAAGACCAGCUAUUUCUGGUUCCUGCUUCACUGAUUGGAACUCUGUGGCUGUAGAGCGAUGUGACCUUCAGGCCACCCUUGCCUCUUGAGGAUCAAGAAUUAUGAUGUGCUGAGGACCAAGGAGGUUCACUCUC